rnacentral:rRNA from 1 species
GACGAACGCUGGCGGCGUGCUUAACACAUGCAAGUCGAACGGGAGUAUCGAAGAAGCUUGCUUUAGAGAUACUUUAGUGGCGGACGGGUGAGUAACGCGUGAGGAGCUGUCCUAUGCAGGGGGAAAACAGUUGGAAACGACUGCUAAUACCCCAUAAGCCGAGAGGUAAAAGGAUUUAUCCGGCAGAGGAGGUACUCGCGUCCUAUCAGCUAGUAGGUGAGGUAACGGCUCACCUAGGCGAAGACGGGUAGCCGGCCUGAGAGGGCGAACGGCCACACUGGAACUGAGAUACGGUCCAGACUCCUACGGGAGGCAGCAGUGGGGAAUAUUGGACAAUGGGCGAAAGCCUGAUCCAGCAAUGCCGCGUGAGUGAUGAAGGCCUUAGGGUUGUAAAGCUCUUUUACCCGGGAUGAUAAUGACAGUACCGGGAGAAUAAGCCCCGGCUAACUCCGUGCCAGCCGCCGCAGUAA